rnacentral:sRNA from 1 species
CAACAAACGAAAGGAGGUGGUCCAAUGUCUCAUUGUCCAAUGCCGCAUACGGCCGACAGGAUGAGCAUGGCCUCCGUCCGCGGGGUCGGGUUCGCCUGAUCGCUCCGCAUCGGCCACGACAAUGGAAGGGUCGCCCGCGAGGGCGGCCCU